CUGGAAUUUUCUAGUGGUAUCUUAGUGGUCUGCUACCCAAAUAUUAUCCAGAUCUGGCCUACUUAGCUUCCAAUUCCAGGGGGAAAAGUUUGUCAAGGCAGCUCGCCCACAAUUGAAUGAUCCCUGUCUGAAGAAAGAACACGACUGAUGCAAGAUCUCCAAGCAACAGUUUGAAUACAGAAAAAAAACAUGUUCUUUUGA